UACGGAGGUCCCAAGCGUUGUUCGGAUUCACUGGGCGUAAAGGGUGCGUAGGUGGUGAGGUAAGUCGGAUGUGAAAGCUCGGAGCUCAACUCCGAAAUGGCAUUGGAAACUACCUUGCUCGAGGGUUGGAGGGGGGACUGGAAUACUUGGUGUAGCAGUGAAAUGCGUAGAUAUCAAGUGGAACACCAGUGGCGAAGGCGAGUCCCUGGACAACUCCUGACACUGAGGCACGAAAGCUAGGGGAGCAAACAGG
rnacentral:rRNA from 1 species